CUUGUCUGUGAAGCCUCCAGACAACCCCAAAGCAAACACCCAUCGGCACGACAGCCCAGACAGCCCCACUUCCAGCGCAGCCCAAAAGACG
rnacentral:ribozyme from 1 species